AAUAUUAUCUACACUAUUUUUUUAUAAAUGGCGUUUCGCACCUAAUAAAAAACGCACAAUUUUUGAUUAAUCAUGUGUAAUUUUAUCAUAACUCAAAAUAUAAAAUAUAGAAAUAAUCAUGCAUCAUACCUAUCAAUUAAAAAAAAAAAUAAUAAUAAAAACCUCAUAAAACACUGCACAAUUUAUUGUUGAUUGUAAACUAUUAAAAUUCUCGAUGUUUGCAAUUACUUACCGUUUAAAAUACAAUUUAUUAUAGGUAGGUAUCAACAACUUAGGUAUAGAGGCUUA